rnacentral:rRNA from 1 species
CCUACGGGGCGCAGCAGUCGAGAAUCAUUCACAAUGGGGGAAACCCUGAUGGUGCGACGCCGCGUGGGGGAAUGAAGGUCUUCGGAUUGUAAACCCCUGUCAUGUGGGAGCAAAUUAAAAAGAUAGUACCACAAGAGGAAGAGACGGCUAACUCUGUGCCAGCAGCCGCGGUAAUACAGAGGUCUCAAGCGUUGUUCGGAAUCACUGGGCGUAAAGCGUGCGUAGGCUGUUUCGUAAGUCGUGUGUGAAAGGCGCGGGCUCAACCCGCGGACGGCACAUGAUACUGCGAGACUAGAGUAAGGGAGGGGGAACCGGAAUUCUCGGUGUAGCAGUGAAAUGCGUAGAUAUCGAGAGGAACACUCGUGGCGAAGGCGGGUUCCUGGACAUUAACUGACGCUGAGGCACGAAGGCCAGGGGAGCGAAAGGGAUUAGAUACCCGUGUAGUC